rnacentral:rRNA from 1 species
AUUGAACGCUGGCGGCAGGCCUAACACAUGCAAGUCGGACGGUAGCACAGAGGAGCUUGCUCCUCGGGUGACGAGUGGCGGACGGGUGAGUAAUGUCUGGGGAUCUGCCCGAUAGAGGGGGAUAACCACUGGAAACGGUGGCUAAUACCGCAUAACGUCGCAAGACCAAAGAGGGGGACCUUCGGGCCUCUCACUAUCGGAUGAACCCAGAUGGGAUUAGCUAGUAGGCGGGGUAACGGCCUACCUAGGCGACGAUCCCUAGCUGGUCUGAAAGGAUGACCAGCCACACUGGAACUGAGACACGGUCCAGACUCCUACGGGAGGCAGCAGUGGGGAAUAUUGCACAAUGGGCGCAAGCCUGAUGCAGCCAUGCCGCGUGUAUGAAGAAGGCCUUCGGGUUGUAAAGUACUUUCAGCGGGGAGGAAGGCGAUGUGGUUAAUAACCGCAUUGAUUGACGUUACCCGCAGAAGAAGCACCGGCUAACUCCGUGCCAGCCGCCGCAGUAA